rnacentral:rRNA from 1 species
UGGUCAAGUUAUUAAGGGUGCAGGGCGGAUGCCUUGGCACUAGGAGCCGAUGAAGGACGUGAUAAGCUGCGAUAAGCUUCGGGGAGUUGCACGUAAACUUUGAUCCGAAGAUUUCCGAAUGAGGAAACUCACUUAGAGUAAUGUCUAAGUAUCAUUAAGUGAAUACAUAGCUUAAUGAGGGGAACUCAGGGAACUGAAACAUCUAAGUACCGGAAGGAAGAGAAAGAAAUUCGAUGCCGUAAGUAGCGGCGAGCGAACACGGAUUAGCCCAAACCAAUAAAGUUUUCUUUAUUGGGGUUGCGGACAUA